GAGGUUGUGGCUCAGUGGUAGAGCGCUUGCCUUGCAUGCGAGGGGCACUGGGUUCAAUCCUCAGCACCUCA
rnacentral:tRNA from 1 species